GCGGGUGACUCCAACAAACCCACAGCUGAAAAAGGACUGAGUGAAGCUCGGCCACAUUCUCGAACUUCCCUCGAAGACAAGCGUGUCCGAACUCCUCCUCGAGCUUAUAGGCAGAGGAGCCCGGAUCGUAGGGUUUGAUGGAGCUCUCCCCCAGAAAGAUUCCACAGCUAUGCCCCUCUUAAUGCUCCAAAAGCCCAAGUGCUGAUGGAGGUCAGGGAGCAGCUGCCA
rnacentral:lncRNA from 1 species